AUUGAACGCUGGCGGCAUGCUUUACACAUGCAAGUCGAACGGUAACAGGGAGCUUGCUCCGCUGACGAGUGGCGAACGGGUGAGUAAUAUAUCGGAACGUGCCCAGUAGUGGGGGAUAGCCCGGCGAAAGCCGGAUUAAUACCGCAUGAGACCUGAGGGUGAAAGCGGGGGAUCGCAAGACCUCGCGCUAUUGGAGCGGCCGAUAUCAGAUUAGCUAGUUGGUGGGGUAAAGGCCUACCAAGGCAACGAUCUGUAGUUGGUCUGAGAGGACGACCAGCCACACUGGGACUGAGACACGGCCCAGACUCCUACGGGAGGCAGCAGUGGGGAAUUUUGGACAAUGGGCGCAAGCCUGAUCCAGCAAUGCCGCGUGCAGGAAGAAGGCCU
rnacentral:rRNA from 1 species